UGCUCAUGUGAAUAGCUGCUGACCAGUGGCAGUAAGGGAUUCGGAUGGCUGUUUGUAAUCUGAUCAAUGGUGACAUAUUAUGACAUGUUGGUUUUAUUUGAUUAUAUCAAUCUGUGAAAGUGCUGCUACUGCAAGAAUGCUUCCUGUUUCAUGUCAUCAAGCUGGGAUUUCCUCUCUUCAGGGGAGCAAGAUAACAUGAAAAAGUCAAAGUAUGCAAAGAAGAGAAGUUUAUAAUACCUGGGAAAAUACAACUGAAGCAAUACACCACCUGGCAAAUAUUACUGAGAUGAAGCUCACUUUCAUUUAGGCAGAACAAUCACAAUAGAAAGCUUCAAGGUGUCAUGAUAUAUUAUCAGCCAUCUGUUU